CUACGGGUUGCUCCAGUGGGGGAUAUUGCACAAUGGGCGAAAGCCUGAUGCAGCAACGCCGCGUGAAGGAUGACGGAUUUCGGUCUGUAAACUUCUAUCAGCAGGGAAGAAAAUGAUGGUACCUGACUAAGAAGCCCCGGCUAACUACGUGCCAGCAGCCGCGGUAAUACGUAGGGGGCAAGCGUUAUCCGGAAUUACUGGGUGUAAAGGGUACGUAGGCGGCUGAUCAAGUCAGAUGUGAAAGCCCGGAGCUCAACUCCGGGAUUGCAUUUGAAACUGGUCGGCUAGAGUGCAGGAGAGGAAAGUGGAAUUCCUAGUGUAGCGGUGAAAUGCGUAGAUAUUAGGAAGAACACCAGUGGCGAAGGCGGCUUUCUGGACUGUAACUGACGCUGAGGUACGAAAGCGUGGGGAGCGAACAGGAUUAGAUACCCCAGUAGUC
rnacentral:rRNA from 1 species